CGGUGCACCCAGGACGCGAUCCUCCCAGAUGUCCUUCACUCCGGCGAUGUGACACCACGGACCCUGUGUGCAUCCACAGCGAAGGUCGCGAGCCAGGCCCCGGGCAACGACUUCUCCCCCUCCUGCCUUCGAGAUCUCCAUCUGGAACCGAUUCGUUCCCCUCCGCGAGACAGAGCGUGGAGCUGUGAUCGUCGGAGACUCCAUCGUCCGACACGUCGGUUCUACGUUAGCCGAAGGUAAAGUGCACACUCACUGUUUCCCUGGUGCUCGUGUUCUCAUUGUUUCUGCGCAGAUACCCACGAUCCUGAAGGCCGACGAGAGCCCCAGAGCGGUUGUGCUUCACACCGGGGUUAACGACACCAUGCUGCGGCAGACGGAGACUGAAGAGGGACUUCAGGAGCCUGAUGAAGACGGUUCGCAGCACGACACCCGUCAUCAUGUCAGGACCACUUCCCACGUAUCAACAUGUACACGAAAGACUUCUCUCUGACAACAUCUCCAGGACACUUUGCUCCAUAUGACUAUCUGGAUCCAGAACACCUGAUAAGAGAUGAUGCGGACCCCUCAGAGGACCCCAGAUGAUGCUAACCCUGAAACAUCAUACAGAACUAACAAAUAUUGCUACUUACUAUGCAGUCACAUUAUAAUUGCUGUCAAUAGUGUUCAUCAUCUGGUUGACUGUCUUGUAUUAAUUUUUCUGAAAAUUCCUUUCAUAUGCACAUAAACUGACAGUCACCACUUAUAAGCUACUACUGAAUAUUGUAGAAACUUAAUUUUCUGUAAAGUUGCUUUGCAGUGAUUUGUAUCGUAAAAAGCGCUAUAUAAAUAAACUUGAAUUGAAUUGAA